rnacentral:rRNA from 2 species
GCGCGUCUAUACAUGCAGUCGAGCGAAUCGAUGGGAGCUUGCUCCCUGAGAUUAGCGGCGGACGGGUGAGUAACACGUGGGCAACCUGCCUAUAAGACUGGGAUAACUUCGGGAAACCGGAGCUAAUACCGGAUACGUUCUUUUCUCGCAUGAGAGAAGAUGGAAAGACGGUUUACGCUGUCACUUAUAGAUGGGCCCGCGGCGCAUUAGCUAGUUGGUGAGGUAAUGGCUCACCAAGGCGACGAUGCGUAGCCGACCUGAGAGGGUGAUCGGCCACACUGGGACUGAGACACGGCCCAGACUCCUACGGGAGGCAGCAGUAGGGAAUCUUCCGCAAUGGACGAAAGUCUGACGGAGCAACGCCGCGUGAACGAAGAAGGCCUUCGGGUCGUAAAGUUCUGUUGUUAGGGAAGAACAAGUACCAGAGUAACUGCUGGUACCUUGACGGUACCUAACCAGAAAGCCACGGCUAACUACGUGCCAGCAGCCGCGGUAAUACGUAGGUGGCAAGCGUUGUCCGGAAUUAUUGGGCGUAAGCGCGCGCAGGUGGUUCCUUAAGUCUGAUGUGAAAGCCCACGGCUCAACCGUGGAGGGUCAUUGGAAACUGGGGAACUUGAGUGCAGAAGAGGAAAGUGGAAUUCCAAGUGUAGCGGUGAAAUGCGUAGAGAUUUGGAGGAACACCAGUGGCGAAGGCGACUUUCUGGUCUGUAACUGACACUGAGGCGCGAAAGCGUGGGGAGCAAACAGGAUUAGAUACCCUGGUAGUCCACGCCGUAAACGAUGAGUGCUAAGUGUUAGAGGGUUUCCGCCCUUUAGUGCUGCAGCUAACGCAUUAAGCACUCCGCCUGGGGAGUACGGCCGCAAGGCUGAAACUCAAAGGAAUUGACGGGGGCCCGCACAAGCGGUGGAGCAUGUGGUUUAAUUCGAAGCAACGCGAAGAACCUUACCAGGUCUUGACAUCCUCUGACAACCCUAGAGAUAGGGCUUUCCCCUUCGGGGGACAGAGUGACAGGUGGUGCAUGGUUGUCGUCAGCUCGUGUCGUGAGAUGUUGGGUUAAGUCCCGCAACGAGCGCAACCCUUGAUCUUAGUUGCCAGCAUUCAGUUGGGCACUCUAAGGUGACUGCCGGUGACAAACCGGAGGAAGGUGGGGAUGACGUCAAAUCAUCAUGCCCCUUAUGACCUGGGCUACACACGUGCUACAAUGGAUGGUACAAAGGGCUGCAAACCUGCGAAGGUAAGCGAAUCCCAUAAAGCCAUUCUCAGUUCGGAUUGCAGGCUGCAACUCGCCUGCAUGAAGCCGGAAUCGCUAGUAAUCGCGGAUCAGCAUGCCGCC